rnacentral:rRNA from 1 species
CCUACGGGAGGCAGCAGUAGGGAAUUUUCCACAAUGGACGAAAGCCUGAUGGAGCAACGCCGCGUGAGUGAAGAAGGGUUUCGGCUCGUAAAGCUCUGUUGGUAGGGAAGAAAGAUAGAGGAAGUAACUGGCCUUUAUUUGACGGUAAUUACGUAGAAAGUCACGGCUAACUACGUGCCAGCAGCCGCGGUAAUACGUAGGUGGCAAGAGGUGUCCGGAUUUAUUGGGCUUAAAGGGAGUGCAGGCGGUUCGACAAGUCUGAGGUGAAAGCCUUCGGCUCAACCGGAGAAUUGAAUCAGAAACUGUUGAACUUGAGUGCAGGAGAGGAGAGUGGAACUCCAUGUGUAGCGGUGAAAUGCGUAGAUAUAUGGAAGAACACCAGUGGCGAAGGCGGCUCUCUGGUCUGCAACUGACGCUGAGGCUCGAAAGCGUGGGUAGCGAACAGGAUUAGAUACCCGAGUAGUC